CUUUAGUCUACAGAGCAGUGAGCUUGGGUAGCUGCCACUGAGGGUUUCUCCCAAAGAGCCAUUUUCCCAGAGGAAGCUGAGCCUGGGAAAGAAGCAAGGGCAGAAAAAUACAGCGAGUGCAGUCCGUGGAGGAGGUACAGAAAGAAUAUAGGGCAGCUGGAGGAGAAUGGCAAGCCAUACUGCUUUGGAAGAAACCAGGAACCAGGUGAUGUCAUUGCUUUUAAACUAUGCGGUGUUUCUCAGUGCUGGAAGGAUUGUGUAAAAUGUACCUCUAUCCAGAAGCUGUCUCUGGAAAGUGCAGCUCAGUAUGACUGGAGCAAGGCCCAGGACUCUGUAUUUUUAAGCAUUUCACGCAAACUUCAAAUGCAUAUUUCUGGCUGGGAAUUACUGGAAUGCUAUCGAAGCACUUGGCUAAUGCUACUGAUGGCUUCUUGGUGGCUGUAUAAGUGGCAGAAGUGCUUAGCAAAAUGAUCUUUUUGCACCUUGUAAGAUUCUACAGAGAAAUACUUCCAAUGCUGAAAAUAAAAGUAACUUUUGGCUGUAAAAAUGGCUCAAUCCCAUCCC